AGAUGUUUUGGGACUACAAUUCCCAUCAUCCCUGACCACUGGUCCUGUUAGCUAGGGAUGAUGGGAGUUGUAGUCCCAAAACAGCUG